UUUUUUUUUUUACUGUGAGAUCAAACCUGCACUGAUGCUGUGUUAAUUAACUGAACACACACACACUGUUCAGCUGAGUAGCACGGUGUGUGUGAGUGUGUGUGAGUGUGUGUGUGUGUGUGUGUGUGUGUGUGUGUGUGUGUACAGAUAAUCAGACACACAGUUGGUCCAUCCUACUCAUAAAAAGGCCUUUUUACAUGAACAACUCCACACUGUCUCAUCAAGUGUUCACUUUCUGGGUUUUUGUUUGUUUUGUUUUUUGAGGGAGAUUAUAAUGUUUCAUAAAUAAAAUAAUAAAAAAGA